rnacentral:rRNA from 1 species
GUGAGUAACACGUAGGAAUCUGCCUAGUAGUGGGGGAUAACUUGGGGAAACUCAAGCUAAUACCGCAUACGCUCUACGGAGGAAAGCGGGGGAUCUUCGGACCUCGCGCUAUUAGAUGAGCCUGCGUCCGAUUAGCUAGUUGGUGGGGUAAAGGCCCACCAAGGCGACGAUCGGUAGCUGGUCUGAGAGGACGAUCAGCCACACUGGAACUGAGACACGGUCCAGACUCCUACGGGAGGCAGCAGUGGG